AUUGAACGCUGGCGGCAUGCCUUACACAUGCAAGUCGAACGGUAACAGGUCUUCGGAUGCUGACGAGUGGCGAACGGGUGAGUAAUACAUCGGAACGUGCCCGAUCGUGGGGGAUAACGGAACGAAAGCUUUGCUAAUACCGCAUACGAUCUACGGAUGAAAGCAGGGGACCGCAAGGCCUUGCGCGGACGGAGCGGCCGAUGGCAGAUUAGGUAGUUGGUGGGAUAAAAGCUUACCAAGCCGACGAUCUGUAGCUGGUCUGAGAGGACGACCAGCCACACUGGGACUGAGACACGGCCCAGACUCCUACGGGAGGCAGCAGUGGGGAAUUUUGGACAAUGGGCGAAAGCCUGAUCCAGCCAUGCCGCGUGCAGGAUGAAGGCCUUCGGGUUGUAAACUGCUUUUGUACGGAACGAAAAGACUCUUUCUAAUAAAGAGGGUCCAUGACGGUACCGUAAGAAUAAGCACCGGCUAACUACGUG
rnacentral:rRNA from 1 species